GGCUUCGUAGCUCAAUCAGUAGAGCACUCGCUGUAUCUGAGUAUGCUGUUUCUGCUGCUGGUUCGAAUCCAGCCGAACUA